rnacentral:rRNA from 1 species
GUGGGGAAUUUUGGACAAUGGGCGCAAGCCUGAUCCAGCCAUUCCGCGUGCAGGAUGAAGGCCUUCGGGUUGUAAACUGCUUUUGUACGGAACGAAAAGCCUCUGGUUAAUACCCGGGGGUCAUGACGGUACCGUAAGAAUAAGCACCGGCUAACUACGUGCCAGCAGCCGCGGUAAUACGUAGGGUGCGAGCGUUAAUCGGAAUUACUGGGCGUAAAGCGUGCGCAGGCGGUGAUGUAAGACAGUUGUGAAAUCCCCGGGCUCAACCUGGGAACUGCAUCUGUGACUGCAUUGCUGGAGUGCGGCAGAGGGGGAUGGAAUUCCGCGUGUAGCAGUGAAAUGCGUAGAUAUGCGGAGGAACACCGAUGGCGAAGGCAAUCCCCUGGGCCUGCACUGACGCUCAUGCACGAAAGCGUGGGGAGCAAACAGGAUUAGGUACCCGGGUAGUCC